GCGCCGGCGGUGUAAGUCGUAGCAUAGCUGCCCAGAAAGCAGAAGGUGCGGGUUCGAGUCCCGGCAGGCGCA
rnacentral:tRNA from 1 species